GCAGUGGUGGUUCAGUGGUACAAUUCUCAUCUUCCAAGUUAGAGACCCAGGUUCAAAUCCCAGCCGCUGCA
rnacentral:tRNA from 1 species